GAAAUUCUUUUAGCACAUAGUAGCAGGAAAAGUUAUGUCUUGACCUUCCAGUUGUGAAGAGGAUGCUGCCAACAUUCCAGUGCCCAGGAUGUUGUCAGUGGGAGACAAGAAGACACAG